ensembl:snoRNA
AGCCUUCCCAGUGUUUACCACAGGCUGUUUGCUUACAAUGACUGUACAGAAAGAGAAGGCAAAAUAAAUCUAUUCUACAAACCAGGUCCUCCGCCUGUUCAGUGUUGUGAAUAGGGAGACAAAG